UAAAGGGCUGCAGUAUAUUGACUGUACAAAGGUAGCAUAAUCAUUAGUCUUUUAAUUGAAGACUCGCAUGAAAGAUUUGAUGAAAUAUAAACUGUCUCUAAUUUAUAAGUAGAAAUUAAUUUUUUAAUUAAAAAGUUAAAAUAUUAUUAAAAGACGAGAAGACCCUAUAGAGUUUUAUAAUUUAUUUAUUUAAUUAAUUAAUAUAUAUAUAUAUAUAUAUAUAUAUAUAUAUAUAUAUAUAUAAAUUUAAAUUUAAUAAAUAAUUAAAUUAUUAAAUUGGGGUGAUAAGAAAAUUUAAUAAAAUUUUUUAUUUUUAAAAAUAAAUAAAUGAAAAAAUGAUCCAUUAAUAAUGAUUAAAAGAAAAAAUUACCUUAGGGAUAACAGCGUAAUAUUUUUUUUUAGUACAAAUAAAAAAAAAAGUUUGCGACCUCGAUGUUGGAUUAAGAUAAAAUUUAAAUGCAAAAGUUUAAAAGU
rnacentral:rRNA from 1 species